CAGUCGCCACGGUAAUACGGAGGGUGCAAGCGUUAUCCGGAUUUAUUGGGUUUAAAGGGUCCGUAGGCGGAUCUGUAAGUCAGUGGUGAAAUCUCACAGCUUAACUGUGAAACUGCCAUUGAUACUGCAGGUCUUGAGUAAAUUUGAAGUGGCUGGAAUAAGUAGUGUAGCGGUGAAAUGCAUAGAUAUUACUUAGAACACCAAUUGCGAAGGCAGGUUACUACCAAUUGAUUGACGCUGAUGGACGAAAGCGUGGGUAGCGAACAGGAUUAGAUACCCGCGUAGUCCCUGUCUCUUAUAC
rnacentral:rRNA from 1 species